UGUUUUUUUUACAUAAGAUGUAAUUGGAGCCUUUCAAGAAGUGACAAAUACUAACAGGGGAAAUGGGAGAUUAAGAUCGAUUACUUUUACCCUCAAAGAUGCUAGUGGCAAUAUUCUUCAUUGUUGCUUGUGGGAUGACCAUGCCAAGCUGUGUGCCGAUGAAUUCGACAAAUUUGAUGGAACUCAACCUCAACCAUAUGUUAUACUUGUCAAACAUGCAAGGGUUAAGCCGGAACAAGCUCCUUACCCACUCUGCUUCACAAAUACUUGGGAUGGAACUCGAGUUAUGUUCAAUCCACCAUUACUAGAUUUUGCGCUGUUCAAAGAGAAGUAUGUUUGAUUUAAUUAUUCGUAUCCCGUACAUGCUCAAUAUUUUGUGAAUCUUUACUAUUGCUUGAUUUAUGUUUGUUUUGACUUAGGUUUAAAGAUCUUCCAUCAGAUGCUCUUUCCUUAUCUCAAAUUGCUUCUCAAUACAGUCAGGCCUCCCAA